rnacentral:rRNA from 1 species
CCUACGGGCGGCAGCAGUGAGGAAUAUUGGGCAAUGGACGCAAGUCUGAACCAGCCAUGCCGCGUGCAGGAAGACGGCUCUAUGAGUUGUAAACUGCGUUUGUACGAGGGUAAACGCAGAUACGUGUAUCUGUCUGAAAGUAUCGUACGAAUAAGGAUCGGCUAACUCCGUGCCAGCAGCCGCGGUAAUACGGAGGAUUCAAGCGUUAUCCGGAUUUAUUGGGUUUAAAGGGUGCGUAGGCGGUCGGAUAAGUUAGAGGUGAAAUCCCGAGGCUCAACUUCGGAAGUGCCUCUGAUACUGUUAGGCUAGAGAGUAGUUGCGGUAGGCGGAAUGUAUGGUGUAGCGGUGAAAUGCUUAGAGAUCAUACAGAACACCGAUUGCGAAGGCAGCUUACCAAGCUACGUCUGACGCUGAGGCACGAAAGCGUGGGGAGCAAACAGGAUUAGAUACCCGAGUAGUC